UAGGGAAUCUUCCGCAAUGGACGAAAGUCUGACGGAGCAACGCCGCGUGAGUGAUGAAGGUUUUCGGAUCGUAAAACUCUGUUGUUAGGGAAGAACAAGUACCGUUCGAAUAGGGCGGCACCUUGACGGUACCUAACCAGAAAGCCACGGCUAACUACGUGCCAGCAGCCGCGGUAAUACGUAGGUGGCAAGCGUUGUCCGGAAUUAUUGGGCGUAAAGCGCGCGCAGGCGGUUUCUUAAGUCUGAUGUGAAAGCCCCCGGCUCAACCGGGGAGGGUCAUUGGAAACUGGGGAACUUGAGUGCAGAAGAGGAGAGUGGAAUUCCACGUGUAGCGGUGAAAUGCGUAGAGAUGUGGAGGAACACCAGUGGCGAAGGCGACUCUCUGGUCUGUAACUGACGCUGAGGCGCGAAAGCGUGGGGAGCGAACA
rnacentral:rRNA from 1 species